CUGAAAAUCACACGGGAACAUGGACUCUGCUAAGGACCGCGAUUCUGAACAUGUGCAGAGAAGUGCAGCACGACUGCAAAUUCUCAGCUCGUUCAGUUGCUGUCUUUCCAUAGCUCACUUCAGAGUGGAUAUUGUUGAGGAAAGCGUAUUAUACCACGCGCUUUCCCUUCAGAGAGCCACAGCAGAAAGUAGUCUAACCGUGGGAUGAGAGUCGGGGAUAAGUAUUGGGGUUCUCGGUUUGGAGGAGGAAGAUCACAGAGGUGAAGUGUCCUUCUCAUCAUAUCUUAUCAAGGGUGCCCACUAACAACAUGACUGAUCACUGUUGAUGUUGACCUCGAUCACCUGGCUGAGGUAUGGAUAACACACUUGAUUCAUGUUGACUGACAUUAUGGAAAUAAGUGUUAGACACGUGGAAUCUGAAUUCUAUUUUAAUUUCAUUUGCAUUGAAUAGAAUGAUUAUUGGAGCCUGAAGUCUUCUCUUCAGUGUGGAGCUGAGUCAGCAAUCUAUGAUUACUCUGCCUAAAGUCAUAAAAUAGACUAAUGAAACAUGAUAGGUAUAACUGGUAAAUUAUAAAGCCGUAUAUAUGUGAGGUUUAAAAUAUUAUUCUGGAAAGAAUCCAUCUGCAUCAGUGUGCUAGGAUAAUAGUAAUUAGCUUUACAGGUUAAUGGAAAACUAGUGUUAUUUAUGAAACACCAUAAGGAACGAUUCAUUAUUCCUCAUGGUAUUAAUUUUGCAAAUACCUGGAAAGCCUCCUUUAAUUAUCAAAAUUGUACAAGCCUUCUCCCUGAGCCAGAGCUAGAUCCUUAUUCUGCUUUUUUGUCAAAUCUAUUCUAAUCUUCCAAAUGCCCCAUUUGGGGGCUCUCUUCACUAUGUAUCAUCCAUACUUUUCAGACCAGGGCUGCUUCCUUAACCAGUUUUUCUUACCACUAUCACCAAGAGAUAUGCUAUCAAUUGCUCUCAGAAUAAGUGGUUUCCAUUCAUUUGACUAUGAAGUACUAAUUAAAUAUGGUAACAUUGACAAUGUAACCUAUAUCCAAAUCACAAGCAUAGAAAAAUUGUAUGUGUAAAGGCUAAAAAUAAAAAUCUUGAACAUAUUGACAGGGUGGAUAGUUAUAUUCUUGAGCUUACUGGAAAAAUUCCUUAGUGAUGGCUUGACAUUUGUGGGGCAGCGGGGGUGAAGAGACGCUAACAUAUGUUUGCCAAAUUACCUUAUUCACUCAACCUAAAUACACUAUUAUGUACCCAGUUUGAAAUAUAUAAGUAAUAUGUUUUCUUUCAAUACUGAAUAACCAGGACUAAAACUACAAACCAGUUAAAAAUAAUUAUACCUAUAAGAUUAUAGGACUAUGGGAUGACUGGAUUCCACUGAUGUUACCAAUAGUUAAAAGUUCAUAACAAUACAGAUAAAAAU